rnacentral:lncRNA from 10 species
GCCUCAGCCUCCCAAGUAGUUGGGACUACAGGCGCCCGCUACCAUGCCUGGCUAAUUUUUUUGUAAUUUUAGUAGAGUCGGGGUUUCACCAUGUUAGCCAGGAUGGUCUCGCUAUCCUGACCUCCUGAUCCACCAGCCUCGGCCUCCCCAAGUGCUGGGAUUACAGGCGUGAGCCACCGCGCCCAGCCUACAGUGCUUCUUUAAGGCUAAGAAAGCCUUCACUUCCAACAGCAGUAUCUCUUGGAAGGCCAGUUUUGAAGAAACAAAGUGGCCAUUCCCUUUUUUUUCCUUCCUGCUUCUUAUGCACUGGAAUCAUUGGGAUCUAUAGGACUGAUCAACCGCAGCAGUUUUAACAGACUUCUUCUUAUAUGAUACCAAAGGCCAGAGGGCACAUAUCAG